rnacentral:rRNA from 1 species
AGCAGCCGCGGUAAUUCCAGCUCCAAUAGCGUAUAUUAAAGUUGUUGCAGUUAAAAAGCUCGUAGUUGAAUUUUAGGCCUGGCCGGACGGUCCGUCUCUGGCGAGUACUGUUCUGUCGUCGGGUCUAUCCUUCUGGUGAGCCGGUAUGUUCUUAAUUGGGCGUGUCGGGGAACCAGGACCAUUACCUUGAAAAAAUUAGAGUGUUUAAAGCAGGCUUUUGCUUGAAUAGAUUAGCAUGGAAUAAUAGAAUAGGACGUUGUGGUUCUAUUUUGUUGGUUCUAGGACCACCGUAAUGAUUAAUAGGGAUAGUUGGGGGCAUUAGUAUUCAAUUGUCAGAGGUGAAAUUCUUGGAUUUAUUGAAGACUAACUACUGCGAAAGCAUUUGCCAAGGAUGUUUUCAUUAAUCAAGAACGAAAGUUAGGGGAUCGAAGACGAUCAGAUACCGUCGUAGUCUUAACCAUAAACUAUGCCGACUAGGAAUCGGGCGACGUUAUUUUCACGACUCGCUCGGCGCCUUAUG